GACGAACGCUGGCGGCGUGCUUAACACAUGCAAGUCGAACGAAGUGGCGAAAGGGUGAGUAACGCGUAAUCAACCUGCACUUCAGAGGGGGACAACAGUUGGAAACGACUGCUAAUACCGCAUACUGAAGGAGGGGAUUGCGUCUGAGUUGCUAGUUGGAGGGGUAACGGCCCACCAAGGCGAUGAUCAGUAGCCGGGCUGAUGGGGUGAACGGCCACAUUGGGACUGAGUCACGGCCCAGACUCGUACGGGAGGCAGCAGUGGGGAAUCUUCCGCAAUGGACGAAAGUCUGGCGGAGCAACGCCGCGUGAGUGAUGACGGCCUUCGGGUUGGAAAGCUCUGUUAAUCGGGACGCGGUACCGGAAUAGAAAGCCACGGCUAACUACGUGCCAGCAGCCGCGGUAAUAC
rnacentral:rRNA from 1 species